rnacentral:rRNA from 1 species
UGGGUGACCUGCCCUCAGCUCUGGGAUAAGCCCGGGAAACUGGGUCUAAUACCGGAUAUGACCUCUCAUCGCAUGGUGAGGGGUGGAAAGUUUUUCGGCUGGGGAUGGGCCCGCGGCCUAUCAGCUUGUUGGUGGGGUGAUGGCCUACCAAGGCGACGACGGGUAGCCGGCCUGAGAGGGUGUCCCGGCCACACUGGGACUGAGACACGGCCCAGACUCCUACGGGA